ensembl:lncRNA
UUUUUAUUAACAAACAGCAGUUUCUGCUGUAUUGUUCACUGAUGACCAGAGUUGGGUGUAACGCGUUACUGUAAUCUAAUUACUUUUCCUGAUAACGCUGUAAUGUAACACAUUAUAUUUUAAAUUUAUGUAAUUUGAUUACAGUUACUGGUGUCAAUAAAAUUGCAUUACUUACGUUACACAUUUAUUGUUAAGAAAACAAUAUUAAGUAAAAUUAAGUAAUUAAGUAAUUAAAUGUAAGUAAUUUUAAAAUUAAAAUUAAGUAAUUUUAAAUAAUAAUAAUAAUGAAUCAUGUUUUGCCCCAACGAUUUUUUAUUUAGCCCUGAAUAAUUCUCCACUUGCAGCGGUUUGUCACUAUGUAACUGAAUGUCUUAUUGGCUAGCUCACAGUCAGUGUGAGUUAAAAUGGAUAUACUCUGUUAUUUUUUUAACUGAUACACUAACAUCCUCUGAUGCUGAGCAGGAAAACAUGGUGUAUAAAUGUCUAUAUGAGUUCCAGAUUAUGUGAACAUGAUAUGAGCAGAGCAUAAGGAAAGAUAAUGUGUUUUGCAUGGCACUGUAGCAGCUAAACACAUAACUUAGCUGUACCUCUCCUUGGCUAGUGACACCAAACUGGCCUAGUUAGAAAGGUUUUAUAUUUUAUCGGUCUCGUAGUCCUACAAACACAACACCCGAGGCAAGUGUUUCACUUUGUAUUGAAUUUUUGUAGGUUUGAUAGGUUUUGAAAGUAAUGUGAAAUUAUAGUAAUUAGUAAUCUAAUUACUUUUUUACAUGCAGUAAUCAGAAAUCUACAAUUUUAAAGUAGUAAUUAAUAAUCUGUUGUGGAUUACUUUUUUUGAGUUCCACUGCUGAUGACAUCGAAAUAUUCCACCUAUGGUUGUAGAAGGAUCAAGUUUUCCAAACACAGUACAGCUCUCUUAGAACUCUCUUCCCUUUUAUACAGUAGUGGAGCUGUGCGUUUUUUUCAAUACCUUCAUAGUACCUCCCUCACAGCUGCAUGUUUAUUCAUCUACACUUGCAUGGAACCUUCCUGGCUGACUGUAAUUCUCUCUUAGUGGUAUUCAAUGAGACUGAGAGUGUGUGCACACAGGUAGAGUGAACUUUUCCUUUAUGGUUUUUAUGUAUUAUGUAAUGUGAACAAAUAUACAGAAAACAGCACAGCUCUGAGAGUAACUCUGGCAAUAAAUGACCUUAAAAUUUUAUUAAACAUUCAGUGGGGUCCAAAAGUAUGAGACCCAUGUUAAUUACUUUGUACAAAAGGCCAGGUUUUCUUUAUCGCCAAUCUCUUCUGUUGAAGUGUUCAGAUGAUACUCUAAAUCUUUAGAUUUGGUCUAAAAUGGAUUGUAAGGUUUUACACAAACUUGUGGAGUCCAUGCCAGCUCGAGAACACACUGUCAUUAAAGCAAAAAGGGGACAUACCAAAUACUAAGAAACUCUGAAAUAAUUCAUGUAAAUAUUUCAAAGAUUCUACUCUUCACUCAAGUUGUUGUCAGUAUAAUCAAUAAUAUAAUUUGUAAUGAAAAAUGUUGUAUUAAAUUAGAAAUGCAAGAUAGAAUUCAAAAUAGAAGCAUUUUCACUAGUGCUCAGAAUUUUUGAUCCCACUGUACAUUUCAGUGCAACCACACAUUCGUUUCCUACAAGUCUGCUAACUGACCUUGUGUUCAUGGUUACACUGGAAGUUUUACUUUAUUAACAUGUUGCAUGUAGCUGGUUAAUGCUUGUAAUAUUUAAUGUUGAUGACACUUUGAACCUUCUUCAGUGCUGAAAACUUUCCAAUGUGCCACAAUAUUUACACAUGGUAAAACCAGUGACCAACCUUGUUGUUUCUCUCUCUUACUCUCUCUUCUGCUUUCUGGACUUGCAUGAUCCAACCUGAUAUCCUUUUUCUGGUUGGAAUGCUCAUCGCUUUGAACCCACUCGGUGCUGCUGAGGAUGGCCCCAUAUGGACAGCCUAAAGAUACAUGAGAUUACUGAGGAUGGUACCACUUAAAAACCAUAAAGAUGGCUUUUUGACCUCGAUUCAUAUGAUCAGCUAUGCUAUGAUGGCUUAGGAAUACAACUGCUAUGAUAGCUUUAAGACUGCAAUUGCCACAAAUAGAUUUGCACUCAAGUCUUCAUCAGUUAACAGUUGACAAUUUCAACAAAAUAUUUCUUGACUUCAUAUUAAAACUAUAAUGAAUUUCCUGGUUACACAAAUGGCACUUUUUGACCAUGUAGUACACAGUUACAGAAGGGAAUUAUAUAUAACUGUCACCCAGAUGAGGACGGGUUCCCUUUUAGGUGUGGUUCCUCUCAAGAUUUGUUCCUUAUCUCCUAUCAGGGAGUUUUUCCUUGCCAUCAUUGCCACUGGCUUGCUCAUUAGGGAUAAAUUUACACAUUUAAAAUUUAUAUCCAGAAUUUAUAUACUUCUGUAAAGCUGCUUUGUGCCAAUGUCCAUUGUUGAAAGUGCUAUACAAAUUAAAACUGAACUAAAAUUGAAUUGUUUUGUACUCUUACUCUCAUCAGUCAUUUGCACAACAUCUAUGGUUAAGUUUCUUUCUCCUCUGCCUCAACAUAAGGCUUCAGACCUGCUCUCUUCUUUCAAUAGCCAUGCAGAAUGUGGAUCUUGACUGCCCACGGCUGCCUGUGUUGUUUGUUGAUGAUUUUUGGAAAUACACUGAAAACAAAACAAAACAAGAAAAUGAAGUGUGAUUAAAUGAUUAAAUAAAACAAUGUAAUAAAGCAUGAAAUACCACUGUGUUUUUAUUCCAGAAUCUUUGUCUUGGACAUUUCCUUCUUCUGACAAUGUUUACAUUCUAAUGCUGUUCUAGUGCUGGAUUACUGACUUUAAAUCAUUCCAUUACCAGUCAUUAUAAAACUAGUUCCUGAUCAUAAAGACUGAGUGUCAAAAGAAAUGGUAUGUAUCCAUUGCAGAGUGGAGGCAAGACUCACAAGAAAAUCAACAAAUCACUUUGAAUAAAAUCAUAGUUCACACACUCGGAUGCAAAGUGUGCAAUAAAGCAUGCUUCCAAAGAAUAUGCUCCAAAUGCAGACAGUUGCAUGAUGUAAAUCAAA